CAUGUACUCCCUCUGUCUGGAAUUACUUGUCAUCAAAAUGGAUGUGUCUAGAACUAAAAUACAUCUAGAUACAUCCAUUUCAAUGACAAGUAUUUUCGAACGGAGGGAGUACAAG
rnacentral:pre_miRNA from 1 species